rnacentral:rRNA from 1 species
UGGCGAACGGGUGAGUAUCACGGUGGGUGAUCUGCCCUGCACUCUGGGAUAAGCCUGGGAAACUGGGUCUAAUACCGGAUAGGACCAUGCUUUAGUGUGUGUGGUGGAAAGUUUUUUCAGUGUAGGAUGAGCCCGCGGCCUAUCAGCUUGUUGGUGGGGUAAUGGCCUACCAAGGCGGCGACGGGUAGCCGGACUGAGAGGUUGGUCGGCCACAUUGGGACUGAGAUACGGCCCAG